CUGCAUGUUGCACCGUGGGCCUCUCUGAAGUAUGCGACGAUGGAAAAAAAACCCAAUGCUUGUGCUAAGUUUGAGUAGUUUAGUGUUGCUUAGUUUUCUCAACAGCUUAUUUAUGUCAAAAAUAACAGCCACAUUU